rnacentral:rRNA from 1 species
UCANCCAUAGUUCGCUUUGGAAACUGUCAAACUUGAGUGCAGAAGGGGAGAGUGGAAUUCCAUGCGUAGCGGUGAAAUGCGUAGAUAUAUGGAGGAACACCGGUGGCGAAAGCGGCUCUCUGGUCUGUAACUGACGCUGAGGCUCGAAAGCGUGGGGAGCGAACAGGAUUAGAUACCCUGGUAGUNCACGCCGUAAACGAUGAGUGCUAGGUGUUGGAUCCUUUCCGGGAUUCAGUGCCGCAGCUAACGCAUUAUGCACUCCGCCUGGGGAGUACGACCGCAAGGUUGAAACUCAAAGGAAUUGACGGGGGCCCGCACAAGCGGUGGAGCAUGUGGUUUAAUUCGAAGCAACGCGAAGAACCUUACCAGGUCUUGACAUCCCGAUGCUAUUUCUAGAGAUAGAAAGUUACUUCGGUACAUCGGUGACAGGUGGUGCAUGGUUGUCGUCAGCUCGUGUCGUGAGAUGUUGGGUUNNNNNNNNCAACGAGCGCAACCCCUAUUGUUAGUUGCCAUCAUUCAGUUGGGCACUCUAGCGAGACUGCCGGUAAUAAACCGGAGGAAGGUGGGGAUGACGUCAAAUCAUCAUGCCCCUUAUGACCUGGGCUACACACGUGCUACAAUGGUUGGUACAACGAGUUGCGAGUCGGUGACGGCAAGCUAAUCUCUUAAAGCCAAUCUCAGUUCGGAUUGUAGGCUGCAACUCGCCUACAUGAAGUCGGAAUCGCUAGUAAUCGCGGAUCAGCACGCCGCGGUGAAUACGUUCCCGGGCCU